UACGUAGGGGGCUAGCGUUGUCCGGAUUUAUUGGGCGUAAAGAGCGUGUAGGCGGCCAGGUAGGUCUGGUGUGAAAACUCGAGGCUUAACCUCGAGAUGUCAUCGGAAACCAUCUGGCUAGAGUCCGGAAGAGGAGAGUGGAAUUCCUGGUGUAGCGGUGAAAUGAGCAGAUAUCAGGAAGAACACCAAUGGCGAAAGCAGCUCUCUGGGACGGUACUGACGCUGAGACGCGAAAGCGUGGGGAGCGAACAGG
rnacentral:rRNA from 1 species